UACGGAGGAUGCGAGCGUUAUCCGGAUUUAUUGGGUUUAAAGGGUGCGUAGGCGGACGCUUAAGUCAGCGGUAAAAUUGCGGGGCUCAACCUCGUCGAGCCGUUGAAACUGGGUGCCUUGAGUGGGCGAGAAGUACGCGGAAUGCGUGGUGUAGCGGUGAAAUGCAUGGAUAUCACGCAGAACUCCGAUUGCGAAGGCAGCGUACCGGCGCCCAACUGACGCUGAAGCACGAAGGCGUGGGUAUCGAACAGG
rnacentral:rRNA from 1 species